rnacentral:rRNA from 1 species
AUUGAACGCUGGCGGCAGGCCUAACACAUGCAAGUCGAACGAGUGGCGGACGGGUGAGUAAUGUCUGGGAAACUGCCCGAUGGAGGGGGAUAACUACUGGAAACGGUAGCUAAUACCGCAUACAAUAGAAUGGGCCCAGAUGGGAUUAGCUAGUGUGUGGGGAAAAGGACAACCAAGUCGACGAUCCCUAGCUGGUCUGAGAGGAUGACCGGCCACGCUGGAACUGAGACACGGUCCAGACUCCUACGGGAGGCAGCAGUGGGGAAUAUUGCACAAUGGGCGCAAGCCUGAUGCAGCCAUGCCGCGUGUAUGAAGAAGGCCUUCGGGUUGUAAAGUACUUUCAGCGAGGAGGCGUUACUCGCAGAAGAAGCACCGGCUAACUCCGUGCCAGCAGCCGCGGUAAUAC